AGUGAACGCUGGCGGUAGGCCUAACACAUGCAAGUCGAACGGCAGCACAGUAAGAGCUUGCUCUUACGGGUGGCGAGUGGCGGACGGGUGAGGAAUACAUCGGAAUCUACUUUUUCGUGGGGGAUAACGUAGGGAAACUUACGCUAAUACCGCAUACGACCUACGGGUGAAAGCAGGGGAUCUUCGGACCUUGCGCGAUUGAAUGAGCCGAUGUCGGAUUAGCUAGUUGGGGGGGUAAAGGCCCACCAAGGGGACGAUCCGUAGCUGGUCUGAGAGGAUGAUCAGCCACACUGGAACUGAGACACGGUCCAGACUCCUACGGGAGGCAGCAGUGGGGAAUAUUGGACAAUGGGCGCAAGCCUGAUCCAGCCAUACCGCGUGGGUGAAGAAGGCCUUCGGGUUGUAAAGCCCUUUUGUUGGGAAAGAAAAGCAGCAGGUUAAUACCCCGCUGUUCUGACGGUACCCAAAGAAUAAGCACCGGCUAACUUCGUG
rnacentral:rRNA from 1 species